CUCGGUGNCUAUUGCGUGGGUGAUCACCCGAUCCCAUUCCGAACUCGGUAGUUAAGACCCACUGCGCCGAUGGUACUGCCUUGGCAACAAGGUGGAAGAGUAGGUCGUCGCCGGAA
rfam:Bacterium TMED190 isolate TMED190 106683, whole genome shotgun sequence.